rnacentral:snRNA from 1 species
GUGCUCCCGUUAGCAGCACAUAUACUAAAAUUGGAAUGAUACAGAGAAGAUUAGCAUGGUUCCUGCAUAAGGAUGACGUGCUACUUUGUGAAGCAUUUCAUAUUUUU